rnacentral:sRNA from 1 species
UUUUUUUCAUACAUUUUUUC